rnacentral:tRNA from 1 species
GCUCCUGUGACGCAGUGGUUAGCGUGUCGUUCUUAUAUUGAUCAGACACUCUGAUAAAUAUGACGAAAUGCGAAAGUGUAAGUCCACUUCAUGAAAGCUCCCAUCCAAUCAGCAGUUCAGUUUACUAACAGUUAAAACAGCGUGGGUUCGACCCCCACCAGGAGCA